UUCCUGAUGUUUAGUCGGAAUCUCCUUUCUUGAAACUUGAAGCCAUUGGUUCGAGUCUUGCCCUCUGGCGCAGGAGAAAAGCAGCUUGCUCCAUCUUCCAUGUGGCAGCCCUUGAGAUAUUUGAAGAUGGCUACCGUAUUUCCUUUCAGUCUCCUCUUUUCCGGGCUAAACAUGCCCAGUUCCCUCAACC